rnacentral:rRNA from 1 species
UACGUAGGUCCCGAGCGUUGUCCGGAUUUAUUGGGCGUAAAGCGAGCGCAGGUGGUUUAAUAAGUCUGAUGUAAAAGGCAGUGGCUCAACCAUUGUGUGCAUUGGAAACUGUUAGACUUGAGUGCAGUAGAGGAGAGUGGAAUUCCAUGUGUAGCGGUGAAAUGCGUAGAUAUCGGGAGGAACACCAGUAGCGAAGGCGGCUAUCUGGCUGGUAACUGACGCUGAGGUGCGAGAGCGUGGGUAGCAAACAGG